UAGUGUCAACCAAUUUGUCUGGUACUGAAGUUAGGCUUACCAACUUGAAAUUGCCAGGAUCGCUUCUGGAGCCUUUUUAAUAAAUUGUUGCAUUAGCUAUCCGCCAGUCAUCUGGUACAGAGGUUGAUUUAAGGAAUAGGUUCAGAGUUGGGCAUUAUUUUACUCCCUUACUUUUUGAUGGGGAGUCUGUUACUGAGGAAGUCAAUUCUAUAGUCCCUGCUUGAUGAGCCACAUGUGGAAAUGAAGAAAUGAAAAAUGUCUUCUGCUACCUAAAUACACACAUGUAUACACAUAUAUGUAAUUACAUGCACAGACUACAUUAAAAGAACAUUAAUUUUGCAAAGAAACACUCAAAAGUUAGGAAAUAACAAAAUUAAGGUUGCCUGUGCAACCUUAAAUUGGCCCCCUUCACUGUAUAAAUUAUUAUUAAUACAAUCUUUGAUUAAAUGAUUCCUUCCUUUCUCUGAAGUUAUAAGCAACUGAAAAUGAUCCCUAAGUGGCGCAGGUUGAGGGAUGUGCUGACCGCCGCUUCCCACAGCCCCCAUUGGCCUGAAGUGGCGAACGUGGCCAGUGGGAGCUGCGAUUGGCUGAAUCUGCGGACACGGCAGGUAAACAAAUCGGCCCAGCCCUCCAGGGGGCUUACCCUGGCGGGCCGUGUGCCAAAGGUUGCCAAGCCCUGUUCUAGACUGUGACAAUGCUGGCUGAGCUUCCUCUGUUUUAAAUUAAGAAGUUUUACCUAUACUUGGACAAAAAUUGCUGUCCAUCUAGUUAGGUUUCUUUUUAAAGUAUUAUUGGUUUUGCUCAAAUGGAAAGUAUAAAUGUUCAGGGCUCUAACUAGCUCAGUCUUUUGGUUUUGAUAUGCUUGCUGUACAUUCUGCUGUUCAAGCAAAAAUCCUAUCUGAGAAAAAACUUCUGUUACACUUGACUUUUACAAUCUUGUUCGGUGGUGCUGGAACAAUUUUUAUUGUGGGGAUGCAGACGGUGGAAGGCAUGUAUUUGGAUGGUUAUUACUACUUCUAUUCAGGGGAUGUGGCAGCACCCCUAGUUCCAGAACCUAUGAUCCUGUUUGUCUCUGAAAAUACAAGCAGAUGUAAUUAUUUGCUGAGAAGCCAAGUUUUUGUAAAUAAAAUGCAUUCUGCCUGGAGUGUCCCUAGCUAAAUUAAACAAAUGGAAUUUCCCAGCUUGGCCAAGUGCUUUAUAGUUCACCUCAGUGUUUAUUCUGUGCAUUUUAAAUGACAAAUACUCUAAAGUUAGAUAAUGCAGUGGCAACUGAAUUAGGAAAAAGUUAUGUCAUUAAUGUGCUUCAUGGAGAAGUGGAAGUAACUGGUGUCUUAUUGGACUCAAGACCCUCCACAGAAGGACAUGUAAAAUAUUGCCCUUUAAUGAAUUAUAUUAAAAAUACCAUUCUUGAGAUGGCCCAGUGGCAAACUGCUUUGAGACAAUAGCUGCCCUAUGGUAUUUAGGAUGUAAGAUGAAAUGUGUAUGUGGAAAAGUAUUUGGAGCUCUGACAGUGAUUUGGGUGACCUCUUCAGGGAUUUUGUGGGUAAUGGAUUAUUUUCUGACAAGGACACAAAGUGGAGUAGGAUGCAGGUUAAUUUCUAGAUGACUUCAUUUUUAAUUCUUCAGCCAAUUUUAAGUAAUAUUUGCUUUUGAAAAAUAGAACUGUAUAGCCAAAUAAAGAAUUUUGAUAGUCUAGAUUGGUGCUUUUCAGAGAUGGUUCUAGUUACUGCUGAGUUGCUUAAUAUGAAAUGAUAGGUCUGGAAAGCUUUUCAUAACAGCUUACCAAAAGUGACGGGUUUUGAUAUGGGAUUCACUUGUUAAAGAAUUAAAGGCUAUCUGUAUAAUUAAUGCCAGUUGACGAUGUUUUAUGGGAAAUAGGUCCUUCAAACAAACCUGAUUUCAUUCUUUGACAUUAUAAGUGUGGUUGAUGAAGGUGGCCGCAUAGGUGUAAUGGUUACACUUUUGCAAGGUGUUGCCUUAGUUCUGCAUACCAUUCUGAUUAAAAAAAUUAGCAUUGUACAAUAUUAAUAGAGAACAUGUUAAAUGGAUUGAGACCUGAGUGACAGUUCUCAAAGUAAUUGUCAGUGGGGAAUCAUUGAAUGGGGGUAUUUUCAGAGGGCUUCCACAGAGGUCAGUACUGGGCCUAAUGCUCUUCAGUAUUUUCAUGAAUAAACUUGAAGGAAAUAUAAAACCACUGCUGAGAAAAUGUGCAGAUUGGCGGAAUGGUAAAUAACGAUGACAACAAGGCGGUCGUACGGAGCAAGCUGGAUUGCCUAUAACCUGAGCCCAUUCAAACAAAAUGCCUUUUAACACAGCCAAAUACAGAGUUUGAUAUCCAGGAUCAAGGAAUUCAGGCCAUGCCUACAGAAUGGGAAACUUGUAUCCUGGACAGCAGUGUGACACUUUCUCAGGGUGCCAAGGACUGAGAGUCACCCCUGCCUCCAGCGAGAGGAAGAUUUGCUUGUGUUUAACUGGGUGCCAACUCCCUGAUAAAAGCAGUCUGUUAGCCACUCAGCCAAUCUCCUCAGGUCUUUGCUAGCCCUUACUUUGCUUUGCAGGCUAACAACAAAUGCCUCCCAACCCCAGAUUCCCUAAAAACAUUCCCCUGCAGUGUCCAGCCCCUGUCAGUGGACACUCAGAAAUUACCAGGUAAGCUGUCCCCAAAGGACCAGUGCACACACCAGCUUGUUUGCUUUAACUGAGGAUCAGCUCCAAUAUAACAUCACGGCACUGAGAUUAUGUUUAUAGCGAAAAGUUAUGUUUUUUGGUUUUUUAAAUCCAAGGCUAAGGUAAUAGUGAUAGUGAAUAAGGCUAAAAAAAGAAACACAUAAAACAAAAGUAUAACACUAUUCUUAAAAUCCAAAGUUACUUUAAUAGGCUAAACCCUCAUCUACAGUAGUUUCUCACCUAAAACAAUCUUCCACCGACGUGUCUGGGAUCCCCCUUUCACUAAGGCAAAAGGGGUUGUCCUUUUUUGCUUCUUCAAUGAAGGAUAAAGAGAGGUGGUUUUGCCUACUUCUUAUAUCCCCAAUGUUCAUAGUUUGGUCCCCAGAGUCAUGAUUUCCCAUGGUAUACUGGCUCCAUGUUGCCUUCACAUCCUCAUGGUGACGCUGUGUUCAAAUGGCCUUCCACUGUGUUAGCUUACAGUGCCAUUUUUCUUGUGAACCAAGGCAGACAGGUGAAUAUACAUUCUUUGUCUGGGCAAAACCUUCUUGACAACCCUGCUUUGAUUCAGACUUUAAAACAUAUGUAUGUAUGUAUAGUAGAUACACAGUAUAUACUGUAUAUACACAACUCCUUAAAUGUCAUCAGUACAUACAUCUUGCAACUAUUAUGAGGAUCACUGACAUAAGAGAUCUUUCUAUUAGAGACUUCACUUGACCCUCUUUGGAGAAAUACUGUGAAAGCAAUGUGUUGAAUGUAGUGGGUUUGUGAGGCUUGUCAGGAGUUACUGUUGCAUCUGAUGAAGUGAGCUGUAGCUCACGAAAGCUUAUGCUCAAAUAAAUUUGUUAGUCUCUAAGGUGCCUCAAGUACUCCUUUUCUUUUUGAGAAUACAGACUAACAUGGCUGCUACUCUGAAACCUGUUAAAGAAUAGUGAACCCUUUGCCAGUUGGCAUCAAUGGGCCUCUGUAUCACAAGCAAAAUAACUGUGAGAAGGAUUUAGGGGUCAUAGUAGAUAGACAACUGAGCUUGAACUCGCAGUGUGAUAAUGUGGCAAAAAGAGCUAAUGUGAUCCUUGGAUGUUUAAACAGGGGAAUAGUGAGUAGGAGUAAGGAGGUCAUUUUGUAUUUGUAUACAGCAUUGGUGAGACUGAUCCUAGAAUAUGGUGUUCAGUUCUGAUGUCAACGUUUAAAAAAGGAUGUUGAAAAAUUGGAGAGGGAGCAGAAGAGAGCAAUGAAAAUGAUUAGAGGGGGGAGAAAAUCCUUCACAGUGAUCAGAAAGAAUAUUAAGAGGUGAUUUGCUUAGUGUAUGAAUACCUUGACAGGGGGGCAAUACUUGGAUAUUAAUGGGCUCUUUGAUUUAGCGCAGAACAGGAUAACAAGAACCAAAGGCUGGAAGGUGAAGCCUGACAAAAUCAAGUUAGAAACUAGGCACAAUUUUUUAACUGCAAGCUUGAUUAACCCCUGCAACAAAUUACCAGAGGAAGUGGUGGAUUUUCUCUCUCUCAUUGUCUCCAGAUCAUGACUGGAUUUCUUUUCUGGAAUUUAUACUUUAGCCAAACACAUUAUGCUUCAGUCAAACACACAUUCUUGGACUCAAUAUGUAGAUGUAUGUAUGUAUGUAUGUAUGUAGAUAAAAUGUAAUGGCCUGUAUUAUAUACAGGAGAUCAAAUCAGAUGGUCUAAUGGUCCUUUCUGACCUCAAACUCUGCUAAUUUGCUUGUAAGCAAAGCUUAGGUGGAUGUUCUAAAUACAUAAUUAUAUACGUAUGGCUAGGAACUGGAUGACUCUGGAGACUGCUCUACUGUCAGGAAGAUGCCUUUCACCUUCAGGUUACUGAGUCUAAUGAAGACUUGAUCAGUAGUAACCAAAAUUUUACAUCCUGUAAAAACUGCCAAUUAGAAAUUGAAGGCAGAAUGCAGAGGUUUUCUUCAAAUACAUCUAUUAAGUAACUAGGAAUGCCUUUUUAAAAAGUGUCAGGAGUGCAAAUAAGGAUCAUCAGCAGUCUCUCAAUAUCAGUUAUAUAAACUGAAAAUAAUUUUUCAUAUGGUCUAUGUAUUAGGGUUGGUAUUUUUUCACUUUGUGUUUUUGCAAGUAGUAUGGGAAGGAGUAGACCCAUGUCAACUGAAUUAUAAUAAAUAACUAGAAUUAUAACAUUUUCCAAAUCUUUUCAGGCAGUCAUGUCAUAUUAACAUAAAUUCCAGAGAGGUGAAGGAUGUUCUUGUUUGUGAAAGCAGAGAACUAGGCAUCCAACCACAAAUCCACAUUAAACUUAAAGAAUAUUGGGCUGGAAGGAAUUCAGAGUACUGUUUUUACAAAAAUAUCUCAUUUUGGAAACCAAUUAUUACGUUAAGUUUUCUGUUAUGACUCUCUAUACAUGGUUGUGUGUACUUUCCACUGACAUACAAAACUAACGAGACCAUGAAGAUCCUUAUUGGCACUUCUUAUAAAUCCGUUUCAUGCCAGUAAUUAUUCUGAGAACUCAGAUCACAAAAAUUAGUCUCAAUAACAAUAUGAAAAAUAGGUUAUCGGAAACCCCAAUUAUUUUCUUAAACUGUAUGGCAGUGCUUCAUAGAGUGUAGGUGUGUGACAACAGUAGCUACAUUUGUCUUAUGGGGAAACCUUUAAACAAUAACAGGAAACCCUGUUAGGGUACCCUUUUCAAACAGAUGGGACUUGUAAGAUAUCACUUGCAUAAUGGAAUUUUCCAUUUGAAAAGAUUUUGUUCUAACGUAGGUGAGAUGAUUAGGGAAACCCUGACAAGAACAUCAGUUCAAUUUUUCCUAUUGUGAAUGCAGAUUUUACUCAGUCUAAAAUAUUAACAAGCAUGGAUUUCAGGCCUCUGAAGCUUUAGGCAGGUGAAGCUUAUGGAGUUGUAGUAUU